GGGUAGGUGGCGAAAAUGGUAAACGCAUCACACUCAAAAUGUGACAACUUAGGUUUUGUGGGUUCGAGCCCCACUCUACCCA
rnacentral:tRNA from 1 species